UUCGGGUGGCUGGCGAGUGGCGAACGGGUGAGUAACACGUGGAAACCUGCCCUAGGGUACGGGACAACAGUUGGAAACGACUGCUAAUACCGUAUACGUCCUACGGGAGAAAGAUUUAUUGCCCUUGGAGGGGUCCGCGUUGGAUUAGCUAGUUGGUAGGGUAAAGGCCUACCAAGGCGACGAUCCAUAGCUGGUCUUAGAGGACGAUCAGCCACACUGUGACUGAGACACGGCCCAGACUCCUACGGGAGGCAGCAGUGGGGAAUAUUGCGCAAUGGGGGCAACCCUGACGCAGCGAUGCCGCGUGAGUGAAGAAGGCCUUCGGGUUGUAAAGCUCUUUCAGUGGGGAAGAUAGUGGACGGUACCCACAGAGGAAGCUCCGGCUAACUCCGUGCCAGCAGCCGCGGUAAUACGGAGGGGGCGAGCGUUGUUCGGAAUUAUUGGGCGUAAAGAGCACGUAGGCGGUUUGGCAAG
rnacentral:rRNA from 1 species